ACUCUUUGAAUACUAAAUCAGAAGGCUCAAGUGACAGAAGAGAGCCCUAGAUUGAAAACCCUCUCUUCUCCAAUUCUUCAAGUCCUCUUUCUCUCACAUAAUCCAUGGCGGCCUCUCUACAUAUGAGCAGAAGAACCUGAAGCUCGAGCUCCUUCGACCCAUGAAUAGGUGAAGAGGAUCUGGUCGGUGCGUAACACAGAUGACGAAGAACCCAUCGCAGCAGUCCAGCUCCAAAGCUGAUUCUCUCCCGAAAGCAACCAGCACCGCCACCACCUUGAUGAUGUCAUUUUGCCUAUUCUUCCUGUCAAGAAGAGAAAUGAGACUAGGGACCAGCCCAUUCUCCCUAACCCAACUCCUGCCACCUUCGCCGUCACCACCUAUUUGUUGUCGGCGAAGAAGAGGGUGUGGGCACUUCCACCCGAUUUGUUCCCCAAGAAGCCAGUUUCGGAGCUGGAUUUGAAUCUUGAGUACAAGCCGGAUCUCGGGGAAGAGUUAGAGGCUGGUGGAGAAACUGCUGAUUGAUAGCGGUUCUGGAGUCAAUACUCGGAUAACAGUUCAGCUUUGACUAGCUCCAUAAUAUUCUGUAUGGUGAUGCUAAAGGAUGGUUUAAAAGAACCUGUUCUUUUCUGUAUCCAUAUGUUCUCGGAGUUGUGAACCCUGAUGCUAAAGCUACGAGGAUUCUCGGCUAAUCAAACAAAGAAUCUUCUCCGCCUGGCAGACUAGAUUUCAAUAUUUUCCCAGGUUGUAUAGGGUUUUGCCCCUGCCUGCUGGUCAAUCUCCAAAUGGCUUCUUUGUAUUCGAGUCAGCUUGGACAAAUUUUUUUAUAAACACUCUCACUUUCUUGUUGGUUGGCCAUGUUAUUGGGUCAUACUGGUACCUCCUUGGCUUACAGGUGUGUGGAGUUCCUUUCCUUCUCUAACCUAAAGAUGCAGAUUCCCUUAUCUGUUUGAUAAUACAUUUGUAAUCUUUCUUGUUCCAGAGGGUUAAUCAAUGUCUUCGAGAUGCCUGCCAUAACUCUAAUCUGCAGUCAUGCGGGAGUUUAAUAGAUUGUUUUAAUGCUCAAUCUAUUCCAGAGUCAACUAAAUGGAGAGAAAAUGAGGAGGCUGCUGGUUGUUUUAAUCCGGAAGGAGAUUUCUCCUAUGGAGUAUAUACUCCAGUUGUCAAUCUCACUACAAGAGAUAGCAUGACUAAAUAUUUAUACUCACUGUUUUGGGGAUUCCAGCAAAUCAGCACUCUGGCAGGAAAUCAAACUCCAAGCUAUUUUAAUGGAGAAAUUGUUUUUACCAUGGUAAUUAUUGGACUGGGACUCUUCUUCUUUGCUCUUCUAAUUGGAAAUAUGCAGAAUUUUCUUCGGUCUCUUGGACGGAGAGCUGUCAUAAGCAUGGAGUGAUGUUGAUACUUUACUCCAUAAGCGAGUUUAGUAAACUUUACGCAUCCACAGGAAGUAUGAUUGCAUGGCCUAUCAAGUACGUCAAAGUGAAUUAGGCAUUUCGGAGGUAAAAGUUGGCAUCAAGCAUAAUAUGAAGAUGUUUAAAAGGCCACAGGAUGGGUCACUAGCUAUAUAUUUAUCUCGUGCAAUUAACAAAGACAAUGGAAAUCUAAGAUGCUCUCUGUUAAUCUAGAAUGUUUUAGAUUUUAGCAUGGUGAUGAUAUGUUGGUUUAGUUAAGUUGUUUUUGUACAAUACUCAAUUGUU